CAGGCGGGCGGUGGUGAUGGGUGGUGAGAUGGUUGAUUGAUGGGUGGCCGAGCUUAUCAACUCGCUCUCAACUCUACUACUCAACGCAUGAGA
rnacentral:ribozyme from 1 species